rnacentral:rRNA from 1 species
CGAAGGGCUAGCGUUAUUCGGAUUUACUGGGCGUAAAGCGCACGUAGGCGGAAUUAAGUCAGGGUGAAUCCCGAGGCUCAACCUCGGAACUGCCUUUGAUACUGGGUUUCUUGAGUCCGGAAGAGGUGAGUGGAACUGCGAGUGUAGAGGUGAAAUUCGUAGAUAUUCGCAAGAACACCAGUGGCGAAGGCGGCUCACUGGUCCGGAACUGACGCUGAGGUGCGAAAGCGUGGGGAGCAAACAGGAUU